GAUGAACGCUGGCGGCGUGCCUAAUACAUGCAAGUCGAGCGAACAGACGAGGAGCUUGCUCCUCUGACGUUAGCGGCGGACGGGUGAGUAACACGUGGAUAACCUACCUAUAAGACUGGGAUAACUUCGGGAAACCGGAGCUAAUACCGGAUAAUAUAUUGAACCGCAUGGUUCAAUAGUGAAAGACGGUUUUGCUGUCACUUAUAGAUGGAUCCGCGCCGCAUUAGCUAGUUGGUAAGGUAACGGCUUACCAAGGCAGCGAUGCGUAGCCGACCUGAGAGGGUGAUCGGCCACACUGGAACUGAGACACGGUCCAGACUCCUACGGGAGGCAGCAGUAGGGAAUCUUCCGCAAUGGGCGAAAGCCUGACGGAGCAACGCCGAGUGAGUGAUGAAGGUCUUCGGAUCGUAAAACUCUGUUAUUAGGGAAGAACAAAUGUGUAAGUAACUAUGCACGUCUUGACGGUACCUAAUCAGAAAGCCACGGCUAACUACGUG
rnacentral:rRNA from 1 species